rnacentral:rRNA from 1 species
GACGAACCGUCCGAACGUUAUUCGGAAUCACUGGGCUUAAAGGGUGCGUAGGCGGCACGGCAAGUUGGGUGUGAAAUCCCUCGGCUCAACCGAGGAACUGCGCCCAAAACUACCGUGCUCGAGGGAGAUAGAGGUGAGCGGAACUUAGGGUGGAGCGGUGAAAUGCGUUGAUAUCCUAAGGAACACCGGUGGCGAAAGCGGCUCACUGGAUCUUUUCUGACGCUGAGGCACGAAAGCUAGGGUAGCGAACGGG